rnacentral:tRNA from 1 species
CGGGUUGUGGUCCAGCGGUCUACGACGCUUGCUUUGGGAGCAAGAUUUCGCCGGUUCAAAUCCGGCCAACCCGA